rnacentral:rRNA from 1 species
CCCUUAGAUGUUCUGGGCCGCACGCGUGCUACACUGAUGCAUUCAACGAGUCUAAAACCUGGUCUGAUAGGGCUGGGUAAUCUUUUGAAAGUGCAUCGUGAUUGGGAUAGAUGAUUGCAAUUCUUCAUCUUCAACGAGGAAUGCCAAGUAAACGCAAGUCAUCAGCUUGCAUUGAUUACGUCCCUGCCCUUUGUACACACCGCCCGUCGCUCCUACCGAUUGAAUGAUCCGAUGAAUACCAUGGAUUGAGAGUACGAAUAGGUUCGCUUAUUUCUGCUGCUCGAGAAGUGGAGUAAAUCUUAUCAUUUAGAGGAAGGAGAAGUCGUAACA